rnacentral:rRNA from 1 species
UUGAACGCUGGCGGCAGGCCUAACACAUGCAAGUCGAAUGGUAACAGGAAACAGCUUGCUGUUUCGCUGACGAGUGGCGGACGGGUGAGUAAUGUCUGGGAAACUGCCUGAUGGAGGGGGAUAACUACUGGAAACGGUAGCCAAUACCGCAUAACGUCGCAAGACCAAAGAGGGGGACCUUCGGGCCUCUUGCCAUCAGAUGUGCCCAGAUGGGAUUAGCUAGUAGGUGGGGUAACGGCUCACCUAGGCGACGAUCCCUAGCUGGUCUGAGAGGAUGACCAGCCACACUGGAACUGAGACACGGUCCAGACUCCUACGGGAGGCAGCAGUGGGGAAUAUUGCGCAAUGGGCGCAAGCCUGAUGCAGCCAUGCCGCGUGUAUGAAGAAGGCCUUCGGGUUGUAAAGUACUUUCAGCGGGGAGGAAGGGAGUAAAGUUAAUACCUUUGCUCAUUGACGUUACCCGCAGAAGAAGCACCGGCUAACUCCGUG